GACGAACGCUGGCGGCGUGCUUAACACAUGCAAGUCGAACGGAAAGGCCCUGCUUUUGUGGGGUGCUCGAGUGGCGAACGGGUGAGUAACACGUGAGUAACCUGCCCUUGACUUUGGGAUAACUUCAGGAAACUGGGGCUAAUACCGGAUAGGAGCUCCUGCUGCAUGGUGGGGGUUGGAAAGUUUCGGCGGUUGGGGAUGGACUCGCGGCUUAUCAACUUGUUGGUGGGGUAGUGGCUUACCAAGGCUUUGACGGGUAGCCGGCCUGAGAGGGUGACCGGCCACAUUGGGACUGAGAUACGGCCCAGAAUCCUACGGGAGGCAGCAGUGGGGAAUAUUGCACAAUGGGCGGAAGCCUGAUGCAGCAACGCCGCGUGCGGGAUGACGGCCUUCGGGUUGUAAACCGCUUUCGCCUGUGACGAAGCGUGAGUGACGGUAAUGGGUAAAGAAGCACCGGCUAACUACGUG
rnacentral:rRNA from 1 species